UACGGGGGGGGGCAAGCGUUGUUCGGAAUUACUGGGCGUAAAGGGCUCGUAGGUGGCCAACUAAGUCAGACGUGAAAUCCCUCGGCUUAACCGAGGAACUGCCUGUCAAACUGCAUGGCUUGAGACCAGGAGAGGUGAGUGGAAUUCCCAGUGUAGCGGUGAAAUGCGUAGAGAUCCGGAAGAACACCGGUGGCGAAGGCGGCCCGCUGGGCAGGAAGAUCUCGUAAGGGAUCGGCUGACGCUGAGGCGCGACAGCGUGGGGAGCAAACAGG
rnacentral:rRNA from 1 species